CCGGCGAUGUCCGAAUGGGGAAACCCAGUGCAAUUCGUUGCACUAUCGUUAACUGAAUACAUAGGUUAACGAGGCGAACCGGGGGAACUGAAACAUCUAAGUACCCCGAGGAAAAGAAAUCAACCGAGAUUCCCCCAGUAGCGGCGAGCGAACGGGGAGCAGCCCAGAGUCUGAAUCAGCUUGUGUGUUAGUGGAACGGUCUGGAAAGUCCGACGGUACAGGGUGAUAGUCCCGUACACCAAAAUGCACAGGUUGUGAACUCGAAGAGUAGGGCGGGACACGUGGUAUCCUGUCUGAAUAUGGGGGGACCAUCCUCCAAGGCUAAAUACUCCUGACUGACCGAUAGUGAACCAGUACCGUGAGGGAAAGGCGAAAAGAACCCCGGCGAGGGGAGUGAAAAAGAACCUGAAACCGUGUACGUACAAGCAGUGGGAGCACCUUCGGGUGUGACUGCGUACCUUUUGUAUAAUGGGUCAGCGACUUAUAUUCUGUAGCAAGGUUAACCGUAUAGGGGAGCCGCAGGGAAACCGAGUCUUAACUGGGCGUUAAGUUGCAGGGUAUAGACCCGAAACCCGGUGAUCUAGCCAUGGGCAGGUUGAAGGUUGGGUAACACUAACUGGAGGACCGAACCGACUAAUGUUGAAAAAUUAGCGGAUGACUUGUGGCUGGGGGUGAAAGGCCAAUCAAACCGGGAGAUAGCUGGUUCUCCCCGAAAGCUAUUUAGGUAGCGCCUCGUGAAUUCAUCUUCGGGGGUAGAGCACUGUUUCGGCUAGGGGGUCAUCCCGACUUACCAACCCGAUGCAAACUACGAAUACCGAAGAAUGUUAUCACGGGAGACACACGGCGGGUGCUAACGUCCGUCGUGAAGAGGGAAACAACCCAGACCGCCAGCUAAGGUCCCAAAGUCAUGGUUAAGUGGGAAACGAUGUGGGAAGGCACAGACAGCCAGGAUGUUGGCUUAGAAGCAGCCAUCAUUUAAAGAAAGCGUAAUAGCUCACUGGUCGAGUCGGCCUGCGCGGAAGAUGUAACGGGGCUAAACCAUGCACCGAAGCUGCGGCAGCGACACUAUGUGUUGUUGGGUAGGGGAGCGUUCUGUAAGCCUGCGAAGGUGUGCUGUGAGGCAUGCUGGAGGUAUCAGAAGUGCGAAUGCUGACAUAAGUAACGAUAAAGCGGGUGAAAAGCCCGCUCGCCGGAAGACCAAGGGUUCCUGUCCAACGUUAAUCGGGGCAGGGUGAGUCGACCCCUAAGGCGAGGCCGAAAGGCGUAGUCGAUGGGAAACAGGUUAAUAUUCCUGUACUUGGUGUUACUGCGAAGGGGGGACGGAGAAGGCUAUGUUAGCCGGGCGACGGUUGUCCCGGUUUAAGCAUGUAGGCUGGUUGUCCAGGCAAAUCCGGAUAAUCAAGGCUGAGGUGUGAUGACGAGGCACUACGGUGCUGAAGUAACAAAUGCCCUGCUUCCAGGAAAAGCCUCUAAGCAUCAGGUAACAUCAAAUCGUACCCCAAACCGACACAGGUGGUCAGGUAGAGAAUACCAAGGCGCUUGAGAGAACUCGGGUGAAGGAACUAGGCAAAAUGGUGCCGUAACUUCGGGAGAAGGCACGCUGGUGUGUAGGUGAAGUCCCUGCGGAUGGAGCUGAGACCAGUCGAAGAUACCAGCUGGCUGCAACUGUUUAUUAAAAACACAGCACUGUGCAAACACGAAAGUGGACGUAUACGGUGUGACGCCUGCCCGGUGCCGGAAGGUUAAUUGAUGGGGUUAUCCGUAAGGAGAAGCUCUUGAUCGAAGCCCCGGUAAACGGCGGCCGUAACUAUAACGGUCCUAAGGUAGCGAAAUUCCUUGUCGGGUAAGUUCCGACCUGCACGAAUGGCGUAAUGAUGGCCAGGCUGUCUCCACCCGAGACUCAGUGAAAUUGAACUCGCUGUGAAGAUGCAGUGUACCCGCGGCAAGACGGAAAGACCCCGUGAACCUUUACUAUAGCUUGACACUGAACAUUGAGCCUUGAUGUGUAGGAUAGGUGGGAGGCUUUGAAGCGUGGACGCCAGUCUGCGUGGAGCCAACCUUGAAAUACCACCCUUUAAUGUUUGAUGUUCUAACGUUGGCCCCUGACCGGGGUUGCGGACAGUGUCUGGUGGGUAGUUUGACUGGGGCGGUCUCCUCCCAAAGCGUAACGGAGGAGCACGAAGGUUAGCUAAUCCUGGUCGGACAUCAGGAGGUUAGUGCAAUGGCAUAAGCUAGCUUGACUGCGAGCGUGACGGCGCGAGCAGGUGCGAAAGCAGGUCAUAGUGAUCCGGUGGUUCUGAAUGGAAGGGCCAUCGCUCAACGGAUAAAAGGUACUCCGGGGAUAACAGGCUGAUACCGCCCAAGAGUUCAUAUCGACGGCGGUGUUUGGCACCUCGAUGUCGGCUCAUCACAUCCUGGGGCUGAAGUAGGUCCCAAGGGUAUGGCUGUUCGCCAUUUAAAGUGGUACGCGAGCUGGGUUUAGAACGUCGUGAGACAGUUCGGUCCCUAUCUGCCGUGGGCGCUGGAGAAUUGAGGGGGGCUGCUCCUAGUACGAGAGGACCGGAGUGGACGCAUCACUGGUGUUCGGGUUGUCAUGCCAAUGGCACUGCCCGGUAGCUAAAUGCGGAAGAGAUAAGUGCUGAAAGCAUCUAAGCACGAAACUUGCCCCGAGAUGAGUUCUCCCUGAGACUUUAAGUCUCCUGAAGGAACGUU
rnacentral:rRNA from 1 species